rnacentral:miRNA from 1 species
CCCUUCCCUCACUCUUCUCUCAG